UGAUAACAUGGAUAUGGAUUUUGACAUUGGUAGUGAGAUGGAAAAUGAAGGUUCUGACAACUAUGACAUUGAAACAGAUUCUUCCCAAAGUGAAGAGCUAGAAUCUGAAGAUGAAAUAAACCAGUCAAAAAGGGUGAACAAAGAAGAAAGCAACCUCAGGAAAUAACUAAAGUUUAUUGUUACCUUGCCACAGCUGUUUAACCUGUUUAAAGUAUGCCCAUCAUGUGGU